GACGAACGCUGGCGGCGUGCUUAACACAUGCAAGUCGAACGGAAAGGCCCUGCUUUUGUUGGGUGCUCGAGUGGCGAACGGGUGAGUAACACGUGUGUAACCUGCCCUUGUCUUUGGGAUAACUUCAGGAAACUGGGGCUAAUACCGGAUAGGAGCUCCUGCUGCAUGGUGGGGGUUGGAAAGUUUCGGCCGUUGGGGAUGGACUCGCGGCUUAGCAGCUUGUUGGUGGGGUAGUGGCUUACGAAGGUUUUGACGGGUAGCCGGCAUGAGAGGGUGGCCGGGGGCAAUAGGCCUGAGGUAGGGCGCAGACUCCUACGGGAGGCAGCGGUGGGGAAUAUGGCACAAUGGGCGGAAGCCUGAUGCAGAAACGCCGCGUGCGGAAUGACGGCCUUCGGGUUGUAAACCGCUGUCGCCUGUGACGAAGCGUGAGUGACGGUAAUGGGUAAAGAAGCACCGGCUAACUACGUG
rnacentral:rRNA from 1 species